rnacentral:rRNA from 1 species
CAGCAGCCGCGGUAAUACGUAGGUGGCAAGCGUUGUCCGGAAUUAUUGGGCGUAAAGGGCUCGCAGGCGGUUUCUUAAGUCUGAUGUGAAAGCCCCCGGCUCAACCGGGGAGGGUCAUUGGAAACUGGGAAACUUGAGUGCAGAAGAGGAGAGCGGAAUUCCACGUGUAGCGGUGAAAUGCGUAGAGAUGUGGAGGAACACCAGUGGCGAAGGCGACUCCCUGGUCUGUAACUGACGCUGAGGAGCGAAAGCGUGGGGAGCGAACAGGAUUAGAUACCCGGGUAGUCCCUGUCUCUUAUAC